rnacentral:rRNA from 1 species
CAGAGUUGAUCCUGGCUCAGGAUGAACGCUAGCUACAGGCUUAACACAUGCAAGUCGAGGGGCAGCAUUUUAGUUUGCUUGCAAACUGAAGAUGGCGACCGGCGCACGGGUGAGUAACACGUAUCCAACCUACCGAUAACUCCGGAAUAGCCUUUCGAAAGAAAGAUUAAUACCGGAUAGCAUACGAAUAUCGCAUGAUAUUUUUAUUAAAGAAUUUCGGUUAUCGAUGGGGAUGCGUUCCAUUAGUUUGUU